CUGACAGACAUUUGGGUAGGUUCCCGUCUGGGACCGUUAUGAAUAGCGCUGCUGUGAACAUUCUUCUGCACGUUUGUGGUGAAUAUAUAUACACGUUCCUGUUGGUGCAGUCAUUUUAAUGAUUAUGAAGAACAAAACCAAGUCAGGAGUCUGCCUCCAGAAUUGGAAACAUCACCUCGGUUCCCAGUUCUGUUCAUCUGUAAAUACACUGUUUUCACGGAGGAAGGAUUGAAGGAAAGGAACAGACGGAGUGGGAAGCCCCCCGGCCCUCCCAAGCUGAAAAGGACAAAUUUGGCAUCACGCUGGGAACCUAGGUUUGCGACACAUUUCUCUUUCUAGUAUUCUGCAGCAAGUGGAUUUAAGUCAAGCAAAUUAGAGUGGGUUUUUUUUUUUUUUACAUUGUUUUUCUCAUGCUGUUAGCAAUUCUUUACACUUGAUGGGCACUUGGUGGAGGUUUGCAGGUGAGAUUUCACUUGUUCGUUCAGUAAAUAUUUUAUUGAGCACCCUACUGUGGGUGAGCCAGGCACUGCUCCAACAGUUGCUGAUACACCAGUCAACAGAACUGGCAAAAGUCCCUGUUCCCAGGAGCUCCCUUUAUAGUGGAGCCUACAUGUUUUAGAAUCGUUGGGUGUGGUUCCAGCUCACCGCCUUCAUAAGGGGAUGAUCCCAGGAAAGUAUUUUCUUGACCUCAGUUUUCUUAUAUCUGUCAAAGUCUGGAUUAAGGCCUUUGGAGACCACUGAUCUGACCCCAGACUCAGCCCUUAUCAGCCACAUGUCCUUGCUACUCUGUUUGUGUGUUGGUUUUCUCACCUGAAAAAUCGACAUGAAAUUACUAUGCCUCAUUAGAGGUAUUACGAGUAUUAAAUAAAUUGCAUACAUAUAGUA